rnacentral:lncRNA from 1 species
GUUCAAAUUCAAGCUAAUGAGCAGCCCAGAGACCUAGACACCAAGCUGUUUCUGGUUUCUCUUUCGGGUUUCAGUAUUUUUCAGGCAGGUGUACUGACACUUUGGAUAAUUCAGCCUUCCUUGUUCCUGACACUGCAGAGGCCCUGGCUUGUUCUGUACCUUGCCUCUGACUUUGCCUUUAGCAAUAACGCUAAUAGAGAUGCCAGCAUGUGACUUUAUCUACUGUUAGCAAUUUGUCCCUACCCCCAGCUUGAAACCCCAAAUCUGUGAGAAAUCGUCCCAGGCCUCCACUGCCCCACAUCUGGCUUCUCAAUCUCUUUGGGGGUUCUUACUUCACUAACUGCUAAAUAUGGAUGGCCCUGGGACUUGUCCUUAGACCUAUUUUACUUGUGUGUCUUAGGGCUUCGAAUAUCUUGAAGAGUUUGAUGCUAACCCAGAUCUCACCCCUGAGCACCAAACAUAUCCACCUGUCCCACGUCUUCUCCCCCAACCCCCAACUGUUGGGUUGAAUAUUGAUUAUCUCAUGUUGGGAAGCCUGUAGUCUCAGCACUCGUGAGACCAAAACAGGAGGAUUGCUUGUGAGUUCAAGGCCAGCCUGGACUGAAGAUGAGACCCUGCCUUUAAAAAUAAAUAAGUGGGACAUCUUCCCCAUGCCUGUAAACAUCUCCCCAUGCCAGCCCAAGGCAGUACACAUCUUUGUUCACCAAUCUGAAAAUUCAGUGUGGUCCUUUUUGUCUCCUGUCCCCUUCCAUCCCGGAAUGUCAGCUCAGCCUUUGAAAUAUACUGAAGCUUCUCACUUUCCAUCACCCUUUGAAGGAUUGACUACCCAGCCUCUGAACUAUUGAUGGAGAACUAACCUAGGGAUCUGCCUCCUUCCUGUCUCCUCGAUGACCAUUCUGGAGAAGAUAAUCCUGGCAGUGUUUUCUCACUGUUUUAUGACCCAUCCAGCUCAACCUUCCAGCUUAUAGCAGAAUCCCUUCUGCUGGGGCUGAGUCGGCAUGACAGAGGACCAGCCAACACCUGCCCACUGGGAUCCUCACUAUAGCAUCCGUGGAGGAUUGGCUCCAGACUCCCAAGGAUACCAAGACUCACCAUUGUUCACAGUACUUAAAGAAAAGCUUAAAUAAAAUGGUAGGGUGUUUGCGUG